UGGCGGACGGGUGAGUAACGCGUGAGAAUCUGCCUUCAGGAUGGGGACAACAGUUGGAAACGACUGCUAAUACCCGAUAUGACGAAAGUUGAAAGAUUUAUCGCCUGGAGAUGAGCUCGCGUCAGAUUAGCUAGAUGGUGUGGUAACGGCGCACCAUGGCGACGAUCUGUAGCUGGUCUGAGAGGAUGAGCAGCCACACUGGGACUGAGACACGGCCCAGACUCCUACGGGAGGCAGCAGUGGGGAAUUUUCCGCAAUGGGCGCAAGCCUGACGGAGCAAUACCGCGUGAGGGAGGAAGGCUCUUGGGUCGUAAACCUCUUUUCUCAGGGAAGAAUAAAAUGACGGUACCUGAGGAAUCAGCAUCGGCUAACUCCGUGCCAGCAGCCGCGGUAAUACGGAGGAUGCAAGCGUUAUCCGGAAUGAUUGGGCGUAAAGCGUCCGUAGGUGGUCAUGUAAGUCUGUGGUUAAAGCGUGGGGCUCAACCCCAUAAAGGCCAUGGAAAC
rnacentral:rRNA from 1 species